UCAUUCCCAGCUUACUGCAGGUACGCAUUUGUCUGUUAUAUGGGAGCUCUGCCUUGCAAAAUUUUGAUUUGCCUCAAUGUUGAAAAUCUAUAUGGCCACUGGUGAUUAGUUAAUGUGUUUAGGAGGUGGGAAUUUGGUAGAGCUUGUAGCUUUAAGCAUAGUUGUUAAAUUUGGACCAGCCCAGCUGGCUCAGUCAGGAACUGUCCCUUGGCCAGUCCGGUUUAUCCCUCAAACAUGUUAUUUCAAUACCCUGAUAAAACACUUUGAACCGGCUGGGUAACCAAUCGACCCGAACUGGGUUUAACGAAUUGGGCAGGUAAGCAGUCCACCCAAACCAAGUUUAACAAGUUGAGCGGGUUUUCGGGAUGGCGACGUGACACUUAUCUAGGUGCUACAUAACCCUCUUAAGGAAAACCAAUGCAGUGCCGGGAUUUGAAAUGUGGGCUGCCAGGCUCAUGGCAGGCUUUAAAGCGAGUUGUCAUUUGAACUACGCUUUGAAUAUUUUUCUUCCAUAAUAUAUAAUAUUAUUAUUUAAAAUCUAAAAUCCCAAUUAAAAAUUUUAAAUUAUUUAUAAAUUAUAUCAAAGACACUAUUAUUAUUUCUCAAAAGACACCAUGUCCUCGUGUGAAAAAAAUUAAUUCGUCUGCUGGCACAGAGUUGAACCUGAG
rnacentral:misc_RNA from 1 species